rnacentral:tRNA from 1 species
AAGCGAUGUGGUGCAGUGGUAGCACGCGUGAGGGAUCCCUGUUGCUACGGGCCAUUCGAUUCAGAAUCAAUGGACGAGGGAGCAAAGGCACUUCCAGAAGUUCAGUCUGCAACUCACGAGACGAUGGUUCGAUUCCACCCUUGCUUU